UACGUAGGGGGCUAGCGUUGUCCGGAUUUAUUGGGCGUAAAGAGCGUGUAGGCGGCCAGAUAAGUCCGCUGUGAAAACUCGAGGCUCAACUUCGAGCUGUCGGUGGAAACUUUCUGGCUAGAGUCCGGAAGAGGAGAAUGGAAUUCCUGGUGUAGCGGUGAAAUGCGCAGAUAUCAGGAAGAACACCCGUGGCGAAGGCGGUUCUCUGGGACGGUACUGACGCUGAGACGCGAAAGCGUGGGGAGCGAACAGG
rnacentral:rRNA from 1 species